rnacentral:misc_RNA from 1 species
GUAUGCGGUUACUCGACAAGGCACACGAACAUAUCCGGGCGCAGCCACAAGCACGCCAGCACACGAAGACAGGCAGAGGCACAGCGAGACGCUGGCAUGGGCAACGGCUGUGCCCAUGCAACACGAACACGCGCACGAGGAUGCAACGCCGGCCUCACAGUACUGGCACACCUCUAUGACUGUGCAAGCUUGUAAGUCGUCGUGCGUGUGUUUGUUAACGUGUGGUGGCUGGCUGCGAGUGACCCCCCAUUCCUCCUUCAGUGUUGUGCACACUGGGAGGCGUUAAGGAGACACGCAGCGGCGCGUAUCUCUCUGUCUACGUGUGUGAGUAUGCAUACGUGUGCCUUUCCGUUUGAUUCGUGUUUUACUGCACCCUCCCUGAAGACGGCCGGACGCACGCCUCAGCGCGCGGCACCACGAGGUCCAGCACCCCUUCCACUCUGUGUGCGGAGGCCACGCAGCCCCCCUUAUCCCUGCCACUGCCGGCCGGCGUGUGGUGGGGACAGGGCCAGGCACCCGUGUCGUGGGGGAGGUGGAUGCAAUGAAUCACUGCUGAUGUCGGCGGCGACGUCGUGGACGGUGUUGCGUGGGCGAUACCUGCGACCGUGAGCACGCUUGCACGGCCCAUAUGAGGGGCAGAGUGGCAGCGUGACUCGAGCGUAUCCCACCCCUCGGCCAUGACUGCCUCCCGGUGGGGAGUCUGGGCCACGGCGAGAGAUGCGCCAGGUGGUGGCCAGCCCAAUGGGGGAGCGGCUGUGGGGCGACGUGCGAAGCGGUGAGGGGGGCGGGUGGGGGUUGAGGGGCCGAGCGCAUGCGGAGCCGACUGCGUCUGCGCAUUUGCUGCCGCGUGCGCGCGUGUGUGCGUGUGCGGCCGCUUCGCACCACGCGACGGUGCCUGUGACGGGGCCAUCGCCGGGGGAGGGGAGAGGGGGCGGAGAGUGGUGGAGUGGAGCUGCGGACAUGUUGUGUGGCAGAGAGGGGGGCUUGCGGAGAGAAGAAUCGAAUCUCUUGGCUUUAUGUUCGCUGUUACCGCCUCGCUGGUCUUGUGUAUAUAUAUAUAUAUAUAUAUAUAUAUAUAUGCGCGUGUCUCGCGGGUCACCGGCGUUUUGCUGAGACGUUCUUUCGGCGGCGCUUCUGGGUCUCUGGCUGAACAUGCAUACACGCGUUCUUUUCAGUGCGUGAGUUCCUCUCCGCCUCUGCAUGCGCACAUCGGCGCAGUACUUGGUUGUGGACCUGAACGUUUCUAUUGUACCUGUUAGAGCUCGUGACGCUGCAUCGCGCGCAUAUACGCGAGGCUGCUAACCUGUGUUUUUGCCGUCCCCGCCUUCUCCUUCGCUUCUCUCCAUGUCUUCCUCUCCUUCGCUUGUUUUUCCCCGCUGCGCUCAUUUUUCUCUCUGCUCACGCGUGCACCGUCAUGUGCAUGUGGGUGUGUGUGGCUUUUGGCGUUAACUGCUGUCGCCGCGGUAUCGCCCGGGGUUGCGCUCACCUGUCCGCUACAUGCAUUAUGUGGGGGGUGUCUCUCUUUCAUGCCCUUGCUCUUGCAUCCAG